rnacentral:rRNA from 1 species
GAUGGACGCUGGCGGCGUGCCUAAUACAUGCAAGUCGAGCGAACGGACGAGAAGCUUGCUUCUCUGAUGUUAGCGGCGGACGGGUGAGUAACACGUGGAUAACCUACCUAUAAGACUGGGAUAACUUCGGGAAACCGUAGCUAAUACCGGAUAAUAUUAUGAACCGCAUGGUUCAAAAGUGAAAGACGGUCUUGCUGUCACUUAUAGAUGGAUCCGCGCUGCAUUAGCUAGUUGGUAAGGUAACGGCUUACCAAGGCAACGAUGCAUAGCCGACCUGAGAGGGUGAUCGGCCACACUGGAACUGAGACACGGUCCAGACUCCUACGGGAGGCAGCAGUAGGGAAUCUUCCGCAAUGGGCGAAAGCCUGACGGAGCAACGCCGCGUGAGUGAUGAAGGUCUUCGGAUCGUAAAACUCUGUUAUUAGGGAAGAACAUAUGUGUAAGUAACUGUGCACAUCUUGACGGUACCUAAUCAGAAAGCCACGGCUAACUACGUG